rnacentral:rRNA from 1 species
UACGGAGGGUGCAAGCGUUGUCCGGAUUUAUUGGGUUUAAAGGGUGCGUAGGCGGUCCUUUAAGUCUGGGGUGAAAGCCCGUUGCUCAACAACGGAACUGCCCUGGAAACUGGAGGACUUGAGUACAGACGAGGGUGGCGGAAUGGAUGCUGUAGCGGUGAAAUGCAUAGAUAGCAUCCAGAACCCCGAUGCGAAGCAGACUGCCUAGACUGUAACUGACGCUGA